rnacentral:lncRNA from 13 species
GUGAAACAUGCUUCAUGAUAUUUCCUUUGGGAUGAUGAAUGCCAGCUGAUGUUAGUCUUUAUGUCAUAAUUAAGACUCAAAUUUUGAGUUUGCUGGAGGAGCAUCUGGUUGUCCAAGUUUGGACUUCUUACCUAUCACUCCUUAGAGGGAGAGGAGACAUAUCCUAGACUACAGUCUACCACACUCUAUGUUAAAAGAGUAAAAAUGAGCCCUGUAGCAAAUCAAAGGUUGUACAGCUUGAGCGUACAAAACAAACUGAUUUUUCCCUACAACUACGUUUGAAGCUUACUACUAUAUUGAACAAGAAAGAAGAAUAAUUGGAAAAUUGUUUUACUGAGGAUGAUGUUGUAUUAAUAUUUUUUCCUAACUGUAUUCAGUGAUUCUUAUGGGAAAAUAUUUAUUUAGUAUGAUCAUUAUUAUUAUAGUCAACAUUUAAAUCAUGUUUUAGAAAUAUUGCAGGGAUUGGGGUGUGAUAUAGUUUCGAUGUGUGUCCCUGCCCAAGUCCCAUAUUGAAAUGUAAUCUUCAAUGUUGGAGGUGGAACCUGGAGGUAGGUGACUGGAUCAUGGGGGUGGAUUUCUCACACCAUCCCCUAUGAUGUUGUCUUGAUGAUGGUGAGUGAGUGCUUCUGAGAUCUGGUCCUUUAACAGUGUGUAGCACCUCCCCCUUUUCCUCUUGCUCCUGCUCUGGCCAUUGUAACUUGCCUGUUCCCGCUUCAUUUUCCACCAUGAAAGUUUCCUGAGGCCUCCCCAGAAUGCUGGCAUCAUGCUUCGUGUACAGUCUACAGAACUUGACAUCAGUGAAUGGGCUGGUCUGGAUGGCUUCACUCAUAUUUCUGGUGCUUUGACAAGGAUGAUUAGAAGACUGGACUUAGUUGGGGCUGAAUCCUUCUUCUUCAACUUGGUGGACUGAUGAAACAUGGACGAAACAGGAGGACAUUUGUUGAAUGUAAGAAGCCAGGCACAAAAAGAAAAUUACGGCAUUAUCUCAGAAUUACCUGGGACAUCUUCUACCUUGACAUUGGCUUGCCCAGAAUCCAGGAGCACAUACCGCUGAUCCCAUCAGUAGUUAUGGAAACAAUAUUAAU